AUGCACUUACAGACACUCACACAUGCACAGACAGACCCACAGACACACACACACUUACUGACACACACACAUACACUUACAGACAGACACAUACACUUACAGACACAGACACACACAUACACUUACAGACACAGACACACACAUACACUUACAGACACACACACAUACACUUACAGACACACACACAUACACUUACAGACACACACACAUACACUUACAGACACACACACAUACACUUACAGACACACACACAUACA